CCUUUGCGGUCUAUCCUUCUUUUUUUCUCGCGCAAUUGAAUCUUUGCGGUCAAUUUUUCUUUUUUCUCGCACGUGUGCGCAUCAAUAGUAAUCAAGGGAUUAUUAACUGAUUGCUCGUCGAGCUGCGGCUCAGGGACACUUUUUGCCGUGCAAUCUUCCGUUCGUCGUCGUCGUCGACUUAGCUCGCCCAUCCAUCGUAGGCGCGUAUAAAAGGACCGUAGUGGAACGCGAUCCGGAGCAGUGUAGCACGACGUAUGUCCGGUCUCGUGCCUCUCGUCUCGUCCUCCCCGAGUGAUCGAUCUCGCGUAACGCGUUACACGUACGUAAAUAUACGUAUAGAGCCGUUCCCUCACACGAGCGACAGCAUACCGUGAGAUCACCGUGAGUUCUCGGUUCGCUGACAACGCUAUAAAAGAUGUCGCAGCCGGAACAAGGUGGCAGUGCGCAGUGCGACAAGGACAUGUCGACGUCAAAAAGUAGCUCGAUGUUGCGCCUGAAUCAGGAGGGCCGUCGCGGCUCCGCCGACUGGCAGGACCAGGGCGACAGCGACUCGGAAAUCAGCGAGAACGAUUUUCUCACCAAGGGCGCCUUCCUGCUCACCCCGAGCCACGAGCUCAGCAUGGAGAAGGCCGCCACCAUCUGCGAGAAGAUGAACUUCCGAGGCGCAUUUUCUUUGACGAAAACCGCCACCGGCAUUCUCUUCAAGUUCAGCAACAUCGAGGACUUUCAGGCCGUGUUUAAAAAGGGUUUUCACAAAGUGACAGGCGCUCGUUUCUACAAAAAGGUCGCUAUACCGUGUAGACCGGCAAAGAUCUUCACCGUCUAUGUUCUUGAUGUGCCCGAGGAAUUGCCGGAGGACGAUAUUAGACACGCUCUCUACAAAUAUCGAUCUAUCGUCGAAGUAACCAGGCUACCCCUGAAUACGGGAACUGUUUUGAAGGCCAUCAAUGACAAGUUAAAGAGCGACGCGCAGAAUCUCAACGAGCCGGCGACGAUUUAUACGGGGCCACCCGUUAUAAGGGUUACCCUGGCCAACGUCGAGGAGACCUCGAUGCUGCUGAGCCGUGGUUUGGAUUUUUAUGGGGCCACAUAUUUUCCCACCGAAACGCCCCAUUCAGCCGCUCAACCCCUCGCCAAAUACAAAAACAACAGAUGGAUCGAGCUGGCGUCGAUCGGCACGGGACAAAGAGUGAGGGACCUACUUCCGGUCUUUGACAACGCAGGCUUCAACAAAUUGCCACCUCCGGCGAGCCGUGUAAUAAAACCGCAAAGAAACUGACACGUUCCCCCUUCCCCCCUUCCCGGCUGACACCCCGAAUUCUUCGACGGCCGCCACCGCCACCGCCGCCACCGCGAUCGAUAGUGGCGGCGAAUCGAGGGAGGACGCCAUCGCGAGAACGACGCUACGACCUGAGGAUGACGACGCCAACGCAGACUAGCUCGAUCGAAAUUCAGAAAAUGACACAAGGAUUCAAUUCGAGCGAUUUUAAUCCUUCGUCGAUCGCGAUGUUCGAGAGAAGAGAAUCAGCCAUUCGUGCACUUAGAGAUAAUGCAUGAGAUCUCCAUCUUUUUAAAAGAAGGAGUCUAUAGAGGAACACUAGUCCCGAGGCAAUGCGGAUACAAGUAGCAGAACAGCAACGCCGGACGGAAGCUCAACUGAUUACUUACACGACACUAAGCGAGACUUCUUCAAAGGCGACGAGUGCACGCUGUCUCAAAUUAAAGAGGGACGACCAUGACUCUCUCUCUCUCUCUCUUUCUCUCUUGUUCGUUACUACCGUCUAUCCGCUGUAUCCGCGAAGCAACCCCCGAGGAUACCACAAGCCUUUGGUC